GCGACAGAGGGUAGGUUUGGCGCCCUGCGCCUAGGCGAGAUUCGCCCCACGCCUUUGGUGUAUGAGGCGCAACUGCACAAACAGACAUAAGGCGCUAAGCGAGAUGAGGCGGGCUCCAUGGCAAGGCGUCCCGAAGCAAGCGCCUUUGGUCUACCGCCUGGCCUCGUCUACUAGAGGCGCUACACCCUUAUAAUCACCUCGCCUCUCGCCCAGGCGCGCCUAGGCGACGCUUUUUUAAACACAGAUAUUCUGACUUUGUUUCAGUCUAAGAUUUUUUUGGUUGUUGUUUUGCAUCUAGUGAAACCAAAGUUAUAUCCAACUCUAUAUCUUUGUGUUGAGUCUGGAUGUAAGUAGUUGUAUACUUGAAUAGGUUU